rnacentral:rRNA from 1 species
CACGUAGGGGGCGAGCGUUGUCCGGAUUUAUUGGGCGUAAAGAGCUCGUAGGCGGUGUGUCGCGUCGGUCGUGAAAACUUGGGGCUUAACCCUGAGCUUGCGGUCGAUACGGGCAUCACUGGAGUUCGGCAGGGGAGACUGGAAUUCCUGGUGUAGCGGUGAAAUGCGCAGAUAUCAGGAGGAACACCGGUGGCGAAGGCGGGUCUCUGGGCCGAUACUGACGCUGAGGAGCGAAAGCGUGGGGAGCGAACAGG